rnacentral:lncRNA from 1 species
AAAUAUUUUAAAUAUUUUAAAUUUAUCAGAGUAGGCUGAUUUUUUAAAUAAUUAUGAGAGCAGGUCGAUUUAGGGAAAACAUUUCUAGCUGGAAGUGUUUUUAGGUAAAAUGCAAAAAAACACUUCCAACUAGAAGCGCUUUUCGUGUGUGACCAAUAAAACGCUUCUAGCUAGAAAUUAAAAUAGCCAUUGGCCCCCCAACCCCCAACAGUAAAAAAAAAACCUAUAAAUACCCCC